CUAAUAGCUACAUUUCUUCUCUCUACUUUUUUCCACUUCUCAAUAUCAAUUUUCAUCUUCAUGAUCCUAUUAGUGUUUAUUACUUGAAUUCAUUGAUGAUUUCAUGGUAUCAGAGUAGGAUGAAUUGAAUCACUGCUAUAAUUAAGCAUAAAACAGUCGAUUGCUAAAUUUCAAUCGAAACAGAGAAAUCAAAGAAUUUCAAGGUUUUUCCAAUCAAAUUAGGGCAAAAUUCAAGGUUUGUGAACAAUAUCAAUGGAGAUUACAACUGGUACUGAAGCUGGAAACACGAGUACUAUAAUAGGUGAAUCGCAAACACAUGUUGUGGAUUAUAAUCAUCCACCGUAUCUUCAAUCUACUGAUGUAAGUUGAAUUUCCACAAUUACUUUCCAAAUGAAAGGAACUGAAAACUAUACUGUUUGGAACAAAUCAUUGUGUAUUGCACUACUAGGAAGAAACAAAUUAGAUUUUGUGAAUGGAAAGUGCAAGAAAGAAAACUAUCUCGAGAAUCUAUGGGAACGUGUAAAUGUGAUUGUGUUAUCCUAGCUUAUAAAUAUUGUUGCGAGUAACUUGAUAGGAGGAUUAGUGUAUGCAACGAAUGCUCAAUCAGUAUGUGAAGAUUUAAAGGAGAGGUUUUAAAAAAUAAAUGAUUCAAGAUCUUUUAAUAUACCUCAAGAAAUUGCAAGUACAGUUCAAGGAAAUCAGUUUGUGUCUGUGUAUUAUUCAAGAUUGAAAGAAUUAUUGAAUGAAUUUGAAUCUAUGGUUCCAGUACUUGGUUGCAAUUGUGAUAGGUCUAAAGUUGUCAUGUAUGUACAGAGGCAAAAAUUGUAUCAAUUUCUCAUGGGACUGAAUGAAUCUUAUUCUCAAUCUAGAAGUCAUAUUUUGUUGCUAAGUCCUUUACCAAGUGUAAACCAGGCCUAUUCAAUGAUUGUUAGUGAUGAAAACCAAAAAGCUAUGACAACUAGUAGUCCAUCACUUCAUCUAUUUUGUUUGGGUCAGUAUUUGGGAAAGAAUCAAGCAAUAAGUGAGACAGAUGUUGUUGCAAUGUAUUCUAGAGCUGGAAACCAAAGCCAGAAAUUCAAGAAAAGAUACAAUCCUAACUACAAUCCAAAUGCUUUUUGUGAUCAUUGCAAACUUAAAGGUCACUACAAGAUAGAUUGUUAUAAGUUGGUUGGCUAUCCUCUAGAUCAUCCUAAAGCAAAUCAAGGAGACAACAGGUUUAAUCAAAACCAGAUGGACAACAAGUUUUAGUCUGAUAACAGGUUCAAAGAAAGAGUAGGAAAAGGAGGACAUGGUAUACAUACUGCACAUAAUGCAGUUGCAGAGCAUUGGAAUACUGGUAAUUGGAAUGCUGGUAAUAGUCAAGGUGUACAAAAUCAAGGAUUUCCACCUAUGAGUCAUAUGAUGGGAUCUCAGGCAGGAUCUGGUGUCAACAAUAGCUAUCAAACAGACAAUAGUGGCACUCCAAGUUUUCAACAACAGUUGGCACAGUUUCAAAAGACUGAAGGACCAAAUCUGUCACAAUCUCAAUAUGCUGAAAUUUAUCAAAUGUUGCUGCUCAGUCUUAGUCUUCAAACACACAUGCUACUAAUAUGACAGGAUCUUUUCACUGGAAAAGUGAAGAAAAUAAUGGUCUAUACUAUCUCAUAAGGUCAAAACUCAGACUCACUAAGGAACAAAUUGCUGGUUAUAGGUUAUCUUCUUCAAUCAGUAACAUCACUAGUGAUGAUGAUCUUAGGCUAUGGCAUAAAAGAAUGGGGCAUAUCCCUGCUAUUACUCUUCAAAAACUAUUUCCUGCAAAACUAUCUAGUCUUACAUUUCUGUGAAAUAACUUCACAACAUGUCCUUGUGCAAGGCAAACUAGAUUGCCAUUUCCUAAAAGUACUAUAGUUAGUUCAAGACCUUUUGAGCUUGUACAUAUGGAUGUGUGGGGACCUUAUAAAACUGGUACUUUUGAUGGUUAUAAAUCCUUUUUGACUGUAGUAGAUGACUUUACAAAAUUCACUUGGGUGUUUUUGUUGAGAUUGAAAUAUGAUGUAUUCUUGCAUAUCAAAAAUUUCUUAUCUCUUAUUCAAAAUCAGUAUGACACAAACGUUAGUUGUUAGAACUGACAAUGAAACUGAAUUCGUAAAAUCUUUUUGUCAUGCACUAUUCACAAAUCUAAGCAUUAUUCAUCAAAAAUCAUAUCCUUAUACCCCUCAACAAAAUGGGGUAGCUGAGAGGAAACAUAGACAUAUUCUUGAGAUCACAAGAGCUAUUAGAUUUCAAGCUCAAAUUCCCAUAAGGUUUUGGGGACACUGUGUACAGGCUGCAGUUUAUAUUAUCAAUAGAUUAACUUCAAGUGUAAUCAAUAACUAUUCUCCAUAUGAAAAACUAAACAACAGAAAACCUUCCUCAUUACAUUUUUGAGUACUAAGAUGCCUAUGUUUUGCUAAAAUACUACAAACAACAGACGAGUUGCAGUCUAGAGCAAGAGCUACUAUUCACAUGGGCUAUUCUGAAACACAAAAAGGAUAUAUCCUAUAUGAUAUGGACAGUAAAAAUUUCUUUGUACAUAGAGGUGUGAUUUUCAAGGAAGAUAUAUUUCCUUUCUCAAAAAUAUCACAGACUACUACUCUAUUUUCAUCACCUGCACUUGGUCUUGAGCAUGCUACUCUUACUCCUACUUUUCCUGUCUAUACUAACAUUGACAGGAAUCACACAAAUAGUUCGGAAGAAAAUACAAGUGAAACAUGUAAUGCAAAUGGAGAAAUGCUCAUAGAACAUGCUGAAGUGCAACAUGCAGAGAUGCCUAUUCAAGAACAACAUGCAAAAAUACAAGACGAUCAACCAAAUCAAAACAUACAAUAACAGGUGUAGCAAAUUCAACCACCAACAAGGAAAUCAAGUAGAGACAAACAUCCACCAUGUUGGAUAAAAGAGUUUGUAUCUCUAAAUGUUCAUGAUGAUAUUUCUUAUGCCUUAUCUAAAUACUUGACUUAUGAUCAUUUAUCUGCUAAAUAUAAAACAUUUAUAUCUAUUGUUUCAAAUACUACUGAACCUGGUAAUAUGCAGAAGACGUAAAAGAUCCAAGAUGGGUUGAAGCUAUGCAAGCAGAAGUAGAUGCACUGCAGCAAAAUAACACUUGGAAAAUAGUUCCUCUACCAGAUAGCAAAGUACCAAUUAGAUGCAAGUGGAUAUUCAAGAUCAAGUAUCAAGCCAGUGGAGAAAUAGAGAGAUUUAAAGCAAAACUAGUGCAAAAGGCUACAGCCAAAGACGAAGGAAUAGAUUAUCAAGAAACCUUCAGUCCAGUUGUGAAGAUGGUAACUUUGAGAACUAUCUUGGCAUUAGCAGCCGCUAGGAAAUGGCAUAUACACCAAAUGGAUGUGUAUAAUGCUUUCCUUCAAGGUGUCUUAUAUGAUGAAAUCUACAUGGAAUUACCACAGGGAUUUCAGAGUUAGGGGAAAACUAAACAAGUAUGCAGACUCACAAAAUUCUUAUAUGGACUGAAACAUGCUCCAAGACAA